rnacentral:lncRNA from 1 species
UGGCAUCCACAAGCCCGGGCAUCGACAUUGCAGAUGAUCCCGCUCAUGGAAGAGGACCCAUAGCCUGGUGACAUCCUGCUAGUCCCACUGUCCCCUUUGGGGAAAAGAGCCUUGAAGAGAGACCACAGGAGGACAGAGCUUGGGGACCAGGGGUCAUUUUUAAUCUAUCUACAUAAGGACAGUGAUUCAUACCGUACAUCUCCAGCAGGACUGUGGGUCUGGCCAACAGCAAAGGCGGUGCUUUCAAAUGAGACUCAAGGGUUUAUCAUGACCAGCAGGGAACCAAGUGCAGAGGGGACUCUCUCUGCCUCACCCCUGUGUCAGAGCUGGGUGUCUCUUGCUACAGAGCGUGAGACUGUGCCACACACAUCCUGUUGCUCCUGCUAACAGCACUCCCUGCUCCUCUGAAAGCAUGUCACAUUGUAUAAAUUUGCUUCUAAAAUCUGCUUUGAACUGUCUAGGGACUUUAGAUCUGGACGGGUCAGCCUCUGUAAAAAAAAAAAAAAGCCCACGUUGACCUGCAAACCCAAGAGCAGAUCCUCUCUUUGCCCUUCUUAGUAAGGGACGGGCUCCCAAGGAAAGACUCUCAUGUGACACUCAGACCAUCUCUUACACCUGGACAGCCAAUCAAAGCAGGAUGUGGCGGCUUGAACGAGAAAGGAAAGGAUAAACAAGCCAACUCCGCUUUCUGAAAAUUUCUUCAUGCCAAGCCCCUAUGCUCUGUGCUGCCCCCUGGUGACAUGUUUGUAGGCGUGGUCUGGCAGUGGACCUGCGGUGUGGAAUAGACCCGUGGCUUUACACAUGGUGAGAACACGUUCAGAUGCAUCUUGUGGUGGACCCCGUAACCUGGUCAUGUUUGGUUUUGGCAUUUGGCAGACUCCACUCAAAUUUAUCUGCUCAUGCCUUCCUAUGUGGGUCAUUGCUGUCACUCUACCCCGACCCUAAAACCUAACCAUUCUUUUAUUUUCCAAAGUGGAAAGUUUCUGUAAACACGGUCUGCAUUUGGAGGGAGAAGGAAGCGGGAGCCGGAUCUUUUGAGACCACUCCCAGCCCCUCAGCUCUCUUUUUUGUCCUGCUCAGUCCAAAGGCUGGCCUCCCAGCCCCAAGCCACCCUGCCCUCUUGCUUUCGGGGGGCCUUUGGCCCUGCCUGCCUGCCAUCCCGUAUUUCCAUGAGGGUCUCAUGGCACCCACUGGGUGUUGUGCCUAAGCAAUUGUUUGAUUUUUUUUAAGAGCCUCGAGUCCAGAAGUGUCUCUUCAAAUACAUGUUGGUCCAUGGUGUCGUUUCCAUCCCUCCUCUGGGUUGUAGACAAAUAUGAACAAAACUCUCAUCCAAUAGAAUCACUGUGCUGCUAGAGCACCGAGGGACGGAGGCUUGAUCGAAUCCUGUUUUCUCUCAACACAGACUGAUUAAAAAUU